GGGUAAUUAAUAGAUAAAUAGAGUGUAAAAAGGAGGGGUUAAAAUGCAAAAUUUCACAUGAACCACCAUUAGUCCAUUAUAAAUCUAAACCCUAAUUCUCCAUUUUAUUAUUCAGCGCCGCUUCUGACCGCCGGCCACUGUCGGUAAACCCUAGUUCACCACUGCCGCUUCAGACUGCCACUGUCGGCCUAGUUAACCACUGCCGCUUCAGACGCAUCUUCUGCCUCCACAUGCCGAUCCUAGACAGACGAAUGGGAACUGAAGAAUGCGUGUUAAUUAAUCUUGAUAGCAUGGUGAUUGUUCAUAGGAAUGUAUCACCAUGCGGAAGAUGAGAUCUGCGAACGUGAUGCGGCAAAAUGAUUUAAUUUCUGGUGUCGAAUGGCUUCAUAUAUUAAGUUCUAAGGAUCUUGGCAAGCUAAUAAGAGAUGCCUGGUAUCAUUAAAUAUACUAUAAACGGAUCAUCUUUUGAGAUAAAUGUGGAAAAUCUAGGAAGACCUCUUGUCCAACACAUAAUGAAAGAUAUUGUAUCAUCACUUAAGCCAGAUAAGCAGCAUUUCAAAUAUUUGUUAAGUGGUUUAAAAUUAUUGCAUACUCUAUGGAAUAUUGCAUCUCACCACCCAACACUUGCGCGGAAGGCUCUGUUCCUCAAAUUGAAGGAACAUCUGAUGCCAAAGAUGCUGAACCAGACUCUAUACUUAAAGCCCGAGACUCUGGGAAACUGCCACAACUAACCUGGGUUGAAGAUGGAAGAGGCUUGGAUGAUUUAUCAGGUCCAGAAAUGAGUGGGCUUGGGCACAUGGUCAAGCCCAACACUUCGAAAGCUGAUGGGUCACCAUCUGCGUCAAACGGGCUGGACACGAAUAUUGUCAUAUAUAGUUCCUGAUGUAGAUGACGAAGCUGCUCCAAAUGAUAUCCCUAGGGAUGAAGCAGAAAAUUCGGCCUAACAUGGGCCCAAUGUGGAAGUGGCAGCUGUUAACUCCCAGGCUGGAAUGUCAAGAAAGAGGCCAGCUAGUACGGAGGCCUAUGAUUCUGAUAGUACAUUUGUACGUAUCACACCCUUUCUGGCCCACAGGGAAGGACCUGGUAAACUUGGAUCCGAACUAUGAAUAUUGUGUGGUGUUCCGGAAGCUUGAGCGUGAAGCUUAGGUGAACAAUGGGUUGACUCAUUUGGCGAUAUUGUGUGGUCAUGAACCGAUGUGUGGCUCGACAAAAAUAAUAACAAUAUGCAACUACGGGUGGUUGUGGACCUGACAAUGCGGUUUGUUGACGUGGUUUUUGGACUCCCAUGGAUGGUUUUUGUCAAGAAUCUGAAAUUUUUAGUUUGGCACAGAAAAGUGAGAAGCUUGUGAUGAUUGAUUAAGAUUUGAAGAUUAGUUUUAAUGACAAUUCAGAGAGUUGGUUGUGAUGAUUGAUUAAGAUUUGAAGUUUUCAAUAAAGAUACACCUUUUUAUAA